CUGAAUGCUGAACAGCACAUGUAAAGCUGCAAUGAUUCAGAGAAGAUUGACAAGGUCCCUGUGCAAGGAUCAUGCCCAGACUCAUGGAGUAGCCCACACUCUU